GUUGUCGCAAAAUCGGCAACCGGGCGUAGGAACCCGAGUAAUCUAACGGCGACACCACACGCGCCAGGCGUGUUUUUU
rnacentral:sRNA from 1 species